rnacentral:rRNA from 1 species
GUUGUAUGGUUAAGUGACUAAGCGUACACGGUGGAUGCCUUGGCAGUCAGAGGCGAUGAAGGACGUAUUAACUUGCGAUAAGCCCAGAUUAGGUAGUAAAAACCAUUUGAGUCUGGGAUUUCCGAAUGGGGAAACCCACUUACAUAAGUAAGUAUCCUGUUGUGAAUACAUAGCAACAGGAGGCGAACCGGGGGAACUGAAACAUCUAAGUACCCCGAGGAAAAGAAAUCAACCGAGAUUCCGAAAGUAGCGGCGAGCGAAAUUGGACUAGCCCUUAAGCUUUAUAUGCGUUAGACGAACGGUCUGGAAAGUCCGGCGAUACAGGGUGAUAGCCCCGUAGUUGACAACGCACAUUCAGUGAAAUCGAGUAGGGCGGGACACGUGAUAUCCUGUCUGAAUAUGGGGGGACCAUCCUCCAAGGCUAAAUAC